rnacentral:rRNA from 1 species
CGCGUAGGCGGCCUUCUAAGUCGAACGUGAAAUCCCCGGGCUCAACCCGGGAACUGCGUCCGAUACUGAAAGGCUUGAAUCCGGGAGAGGGAUGCGGAAUUCCAGGUGUAGCGGUGAAAUGCGUAGAUAUCUGGAGGAACACCGGUGGCGAAGGCGGCAUCCUGGACCGGCAUUGACGCUGAGGCGCGAAAGCUAGGGGAGCAAACG